GAUGAACGCUGGCGGCGUGCUUAACACAUGCAAGUCGAACGAAGAGGCGCGGCUUUUGUGGUGGUCUCGAGGGGCGAAGGGGUGAGAAACACAAGUGAAACAUCCCCUUGUCUGUGGGAUAACUUUAUGAAAAUGUGGAAAAUCGCCUGGAGGAGUUCAUGCACCGGUGGGUGUGUUAGAGAUUUACGGCGGUUGGGGAUGGACUCGCGGCUUAUCAGCUUGUUGGUGGGGUAGUGGCUGACCAAGGCUUUGACGGGUAGCCGGCCUGAGAGGGUGACCGGCCACAUUGGGACUGAGAUACGGCCCAGACUCCUACGGGAGGCAGCAGUGGGGAAUAUUGCACAAUGGGCGGAAGCCUGAUGCAGCAACGCCGCGUGCGGGAUGACGGCCUUCGGGUUGUAAACCGCUUUCGCCUGUGACGAAGCGUGAGUGACGGUAAUGGGUAAAGAAGCACCGGCUAACUACGUG
rnacentral:rRNA from 1 species